UACGAAGGGGGCUAGCGUUGUUCGGAAUUACUGGGCGUAAAGCGCGCGCAGGCGGCCUUUCAAGUCAGGGGUGAAAGCCCAGAGCUCAACUCUGGAACUGCCUUUGAAACUGCAAGGCUGGAGUACGGUAGAGGUGAGUGGAAUUCCCAGUGUAGAGGUGAAAUUCGUAGAUAUUGGGAAGAACACCGGUGGCGAAGGCGGCUCACUGGACCGUUACUGACGCUCAGGCGCGACAGCGUGGGGAUCAAACAGG
rnacentral:rRNA from 1 species